rnacentral:rRNA from 1 species
GCAUAUCAAUAAGCGGAGGAAAAGAAAAUAACAAUGAUUCCCUUAGUAACUGCGAGUGAAGAGGGAUAAGCUCAAAUUUUAAAUCUGUUAGGUUCUCCUAACCGAGUUGUAAUUUGAAGAAGCGUUUUCUGUGCUUUUGGUCAGUCUAAGUCCUAUUGAAUGAGGCAUCAUGGAGGGUGAUAAUCCCGUGAGGUUGACCAUUGCGCUUUACGAUACGCUUUCUAGGAGUCAAGUUGUUUGGGAAUGCAGCUUAAAAUGGGAGGUAAAUUUCUCCUAAGGCUAAGUAACGGCGAGAGACCGAUAGCGAACAAGUACCGUGAGGGAAAGAUGAAAAGAACUUUGAAAAGAGAGUUAAAUAGUACGUGAAAUUGUUGAAAGGGAAACGAUUGAAGCCAGUCGUACCUGCGGGUAAUCAGCCUUUUGGGUGUGAUUAUGUGGGGCGUGAGGAGCUAAACACCCUCAUCUUUGCAUAUUCGUGCACUUUGGGUGUACUUGCUCGUGUGGUAGGUUAACAUCAAUUUUGAUCGUCAUAAAAUGACUAGAGGAAUGUAGCUUCGAUCUCGUGUUGAAGUGUUAUAGCCUUUGGUAGAUGUGAUGAUUAGGAUUGAGGAUUGCAACGGAUACCCUUCGGGGCUAACUGUCUGAUCUCUGAAAGUUGCUCUGGUGCUGAAAGCUUGCUUAUGGUAUCUAAGUUGACGUUCAAAAGGUUAGAACGGGAUAAAUUCGUUAAGGAUGUUGACGUAAUGGCUUUAAACGAC